UAUUAUUUUAAGUGUUAAUUUUACUUACCAGGGUACUGUUAGCUAAGGUCUUUAAACCCAAAGAAUUUGGCGGUAUCUCAUUCCAUUCAGAGGAACCUACCCCGUAAUUGAUAGUACACGAUUAACUUUACUUAAUUUAUUUGUUUGUAUAUCUCCGUUAUCAGAAAAUCUUUUUAGAGUUAUAAUUUUCUUGAUUUAUAAUUAUAAAAUAUUUCAGGUCAAGGUGCAGCUUAUAAUUAAGAGGAGGUGGGUUACAAUAGAUUUAUGUUUAUUACGAAUUUGAUGGUGAAAGACUGUUAAUAAAGGUGGAUUUGAUAGUAAUUUAAUUUAUUUAAUUUAAUUGAUUUUGGCUCUGAGGUGUGUACACAUCGCCCGUCACUCUCAUUAUUGAUCAUUAUACUUAAGAUUUUUUGGUAAGGUAUGUUCAAAUUAGAUGAG
rnacentral:rRNA from 1 species